rnacentral:tRNA from 29 species
GCCCAGGUAGCUCAGUCGGUAGAGCAGAGGACUGAAAAUCCUCGUGUCGGUGGUUCGAUUCCGCCCCUGGGCACCA